GUGUCUAUAAUUUAAAGGGAAAAUGUCUGUCUUCGGAAUAGAAAAUAGGGGUUCAACCCCCCUUAGGCAUU
rnacentral:tRNA from 1 species